AGGGAAUUUUCCACAAUGGACGAAAGUCUGAUGGAGCAACGCCGCGUGAACGAUGAAGGUCUUCGGAUUGUAAAGUUCUGUUGUUAGGGACGAAACCGUACCGUUCGAACAGGGCGGUACCUUGACGGUACCUAAUUAGAAAGCCACGGCUAACUACGUGCCAGCAGCCGCGGUAAUACGUAGGUGGCAAGCGUUGUCCGGAAUUAUUGGGCGUAAAGCGCGCGCAGGCGGCUAUGUAAGUCUGAUGUUAAAGCCCGAGGCUCAACCUCGGUUCGCAUUGGAAACUGUGUAGCUUGAGUGCAGAAGAGGAAAGCGGUAUUCCACGUGUAGCGGUGAAAUGCGUAGAGAUGUGGAGGAACACCAGUGGCGAAGGCGGCUUUCUGGUCUGUAACUGACGCUGAGGCGCGAAAGCGUGGGGAGCAAAC
rnacentral:rRNA from 1 species